GUCAACAGGACGGUUCUGGCAGACGAACAGAACAAUAUAAUCGAGCAGGUUGAUACAUCACCGAAUAAAAAAUUAUCGCUGGACCUCUCACCUUUCGAGAAGAGUAGAAAAGAGGAAACGAUGAAAGCGAACAGAGCUCCUCGUCGGUGCCAAUUACGCCAACAACGCCGACUCAGUCCUCUGACGAACAAGCGUUUAACCUGAAUAAGAAGAGGAAAAACAGAAAGCGCAACAAGAAGAAAUGAAGAGGGUAGUUAAUUUCCCUCGCUGCAUCUUCAUCGCUUAGAGCUCUUUAAAAAUAAGAGUGAUUCCACCGCAAGAACAAAUCAGACAAACUGUGUUUAAAAUUUGCUCGUGAAAUGUUCGUUGAAAGCACUCAGUAAAAUUCCUGGAUGAUGAAUAUACUAAGGGGCUAUACCUCUUGAACGCGUAGCAAUCUACCCCUGAAGUGCUUUGCUCUCCAGGCGUUUUGUGUUACUCAUAUGAUUUUAUAUCUUAGAGUAUGAUAUUGUUCCAUGUACGAAGUGUAUGAAACAUUUUUUUAAACUACAUUAACUAUGUGCCCCAAGAAUUUUUUGUAAUGAAACCUCUCAAGUUAAAUUUGAGCAUAUUAAGUUCUAAGAAAAUGCAUUUUUUUUCUCUUUUUUUUUCCUUCUUACUUUAAUGCAACCAUCAGGAGUUAUCAGUAUUGUUAUAUUUCUGUGAUAUUCAUUGUUUUUCACUGUAGAUUGUGAAGUUUUCCUCAAGUGUUUACUAAAUCACACUGCAAUAUUUAAUAUUGUGUUUUCAUUCAGUAUUUGCAGAAUACCCCUUCAGGGUAACAAUGCUUAAGGGCCUUUUUAUUCAUUUUUCCUUCAAUUGAAUGGUCAAUCGUGAUUGUACAAUCGUCUUUUGAUAGUUGAUAUGUUAAAGGAAACAAAGAAUUUUCACAUCGUAAUUAGAAGUGAUGACACUUAUACAUAAGCACUUCAAAAUGCUGUCUGAAAGAUUUUCCCCAAAGAUUUUACCUCUUUAAAUUUGCAAGGUGAAAAUUUAACCUACUUAUUGUAGAGCAUAGACCAUCUGGACAUGAUUGUAUGGAAGUGCAACCGAUCUAUUGGGAACCUCCAAUAGUUUCAUGAGAGGGCUGCCUCGUUGAAUUGAAGCGAAUGAAUUAAAGUGGAUUUUUUUCAUGCAU
rnacentral:lncRNA from 1 species